rnacentral:lncRNA from 7 species
AUCACAACGGCACAGGAAUAUUUCAUUCGAGCGAGUGCGAUCUCAGGUGGCCGGGGCUAGCUGGAGUAGUCGAUCUCAUUCCCGACCGUACAUGUUUAUAUACACGUUAACACGUACGAUACGAUUAAACCCGGGAAGUGGCUAUAAAUUAAUAAAGGCGCCGAACGCGAUCGGUUCUCUGUUGGUCGCGAAUCGGAUCACAUCGCCGUCGUCGGCCGGGUUCUGAAGCUAGCUAGAUGCAGCCAUCAUAUCGACGGCACCCAGGCAAUGGAAGCAGCAUAAUGUGCCUCCC